rnacentral:lncRNA from 1 species
AGCAUCCCCUCCUCAGUUCAGGGCAUGAUCCUUGUGUGCAGGGCAAAGUUACUGCAGGGUCAAGUGGAAAGAAGAGAUUGGCAGGAAAGGAGCAAAUCCUCCUUAAACAAAAAUGUCUGUAGUAAUUAGCCAAUGUUGCAAGAAUGAGCUGAUAAACAAGCAAAAGUCCAAAGAAAUGGAAGUUCCUUUGCAAAACUGGAGACCCACACCCAGCUCUGCUUCUCAAGUGCAAGCACCAGAACAGUGCUUUAAUUAACCUGCAGUGCACACCUGAACAGAUGAGUCUGAGAUGUAAGCUGUCCAUCCUUUAUGGGUCCCUUCCUGCCCACCCCAGAAGAAGCCAAGUGCUUG